GAAGCUUGUAGGACCACAAACUUCGUUGUUCUUUUUAUAUAAGGAAAAUUCAUAUUCUCUCGCAGUCUUGUAUUCCAUUCCACAAAAAAAGAGAAGCUUCAAGAAGAUUAAACUGACCAUAUUCUGAAGUUGAUUUUUCAUGGUUUCCCUCUCUCAACUUCCAACCCAUCGUGAGUUGUCGAUUGAGGGGAGGUAUGUGCCUACAAAGACUGUCAAAGAAGAACUACUGCAAAUAUGUCUUCCUGUUUUCAACAAUGAUCAGUCGAGUCAGAGACUUCAAAAAUGCACCAGAGAUGGGUCGUCGAAGUUUGGCCGUACAAGGAGAUGGGUCGUCGUGGCUGCUUGGGGAGCUAUCGGGGGGACUGGUUUGCACCAGAUUCUAGGGCAAUUAAGAUUGAAGGGGGGAAAAUAGGACAAAUUUCAGCAGAUUGAGGGGGGUGGGAGGGAUUGGGUUAGGGACCGUCACCACUGGGAGAUGGAUUGCUAAAACUUGACGAGAAUGUUGCGUGCUGUACGGGGUGGAUUCGUGGAGAUGGUCGACUCUACAGGCUUCUUUGCUCGUCGGCGACAAGGAUGGGUCGCUGCUACCGGAGAUGGUGCAGACUUCUUUGCUCGUUGGGGAAGAAGACGAUGGUGGGGAUCGACGCCCUAAAGCUUUCUUUGCUCCUCAGCAGCUACUGGUGGAUACAACUCCGGGAAGCCGACCACAAUGAACUCGAGCUUACAAGGGGAGCACGUGCAGCCACCACAGCAACUCGGGAAAGGGGCCGAGGGUCCCGGAUAUGAGCAACGACUCCUAUUAUGACAGCAAGACGCCACGGACAACAGCAGUGAACUCCCCACGCCCGACAACUGCAAUAACCUGCAAAAUACCUCAAGAAACUCGUGGAAGCUGCAUGGCAACUCGAGGAACAAAGGAAAAGCCCGCAGCACUGGAAGAGAUAGCAGGACUGUGGUUCAGGCAAAGCAAGCAGUGGCCACGGGAGCUUCAAGACGAUGCAGUCGUGGGGGAAAGUGAGGGAAAGAGGAGACGGAAAUGCUGGUGAUAGUUGUAAGAAGGAGUUGAGGUGGUCCCGGUCUGUUGGCUACGGUUGAGGGAAGAAGGAUGAGGGUUAUGGACGCAGGUGUCUUGGUCAGGAAAGGAAACAAGAAAUAAGAGAGGGCCGGGUGGUCUCUGGUCUGUGAGGUGUUCAGAGGGAGAGACGGUGAGGAAAACGAGAGGUUGAGGUUCGAAGUCGCUGUGAACUGAGAGGGGGAAUGGUGAGAGAACGAGAGAGUCCAGGGAGCGUUUUUUCUGAGCUGAGGGGAAGUGUGUCUCAAAAGGAGAGUGAGUGAGAGGUCUGUUGAGGGAGUCGGGUUGAGUUGAGGGAAAGAGAGGUGGAGCCGAGAGUUCGAACGUGAGCUGAGGGGAGGAUCUGAGGAGAGAAUGAGACGUGAGCAGAUGGGAUGGACGAGCUGUGGAACAGAGCAAGAACUGAGCGAGUUCAGCUAAGGGUGUGAGCUCGGGGAGACUCGGUUGAGCUGCGGGAGAGGUUUGUGAGCUGAGGGUCCCGUCUCUGGUCUGUUCUGUCCCCUUUUUCUUUCUGUUCCGUCCUUUUUUCAUUUUUUUCUGUUCUGUUCAUCCGUCCCCUGCUGUCUGUGUCCUCUGUGUGCCCGAGGAUGAGGACCCGAGAGAGAGAGAGAGAGAGAGAGAGAGAGAGAGAACCGUGUGUUACAGAGGUCACGGGUCCAAGGAAACGUGAGGGGAAAGGGAGCAGAAGCCAUCAGAAGCUGCAGAGGAAAGCUGAGCUCGGGUGUAACCGAGAAGAAGAAGAGAAAAGGGAUGAACUGACCAGCAGAGGAGGAGAUACAGAGAGGGCGCAAGUCUGUCCAGAGACGGAAGAGAAAAUGGUAGAUGACGAUGGCGUCUGGACGGAUUGCAGAAGAAAAAGAAAGAAGAAAGAAAGAGGAAAGGAGGGUCGACAGUGAAGAAGAACCGAAGAGCAGGGGAAGGAGAGGAAAAGGAAAAAAUAAAAAAUAAAAGAAAGAAAAAGAGAGGGCGGGAAGAAACCGAAGAAGGUUUGACCCGUCUGUUGACCACCCUUUUUUUAUUUAAAUAUUCGUACGGACGUUCAUGGGUCGAUAAAUCGAUUUUUCAAGAUCCGUCGACAUUUUCGAAAUGAGGAUUUUGAGGUCAAGAAAUUCAAGAAAUACUCAACUCCA